rnacentral:rRNA from 1 species
GGGAAGAGAACGCCCCUGCGGGGGUAACUGACGGUACCAGACGAAUAAGCACCGGCUAACUCCGUGCCAGCAGCCGCGGUAAGUACGGAGGGUGCAAGCGUUGUCCGGAUUUAUUGGGUUUAAAGGGUGCGUACGCGGCCCUGUAAGUCAGCGGUGAAAUCCCGGGGCUCAACCCCGGAACUGCCGUUGAUACUGCACGGAUUGAGUUCGGUCGAGGCGGGCGGAACUGGCGGUGUAGCGGUGAAAUGCUUAUAUACGGCCAAGAAUCCGAAUUGCGUAGGCAGCUCGCUGGCCCGAAACUGACGCUGAUGCACAAAAGCGUGGGGAGCGAACAGGAUUACAUACCGUGGUAGUCCACUCCGUAAAGUAUGAUGACUCAAUGUUGGCG